rnacentral:rRNA from 1 species
CGACUAAGCGCAUACGGUGGAUGCCUUGGCAGUCAGAGGCGAUGAAAGACGUGGAAGCCUGCGAUAAGGCUCGGGGAGCUGGCAAACAAGCUGUGAUCCGGGCAUCUCUGAAUGGGGAAACCCACCGGUCUUCGGACCGGUACCGUACGGUGAAUACAUAGCCGUACGGGGCGAACUCGGGGAACUGAAACAUCUAAGUACCCGAAGGAAAGGACAUCAAUUGAGACUUCCCUAGUAGCGGCGAGCGAACGGGAACCAGGCCAGUGUCUCUUCAUGAGUCAGCGGAACGAUCUGGAAAGUUCGGCCAUAGCGGGUGAUAGCCCCGUACGUUAAAGCGACUGAAGAGACCUCGAGUAGGGCGGGACACGUGAAAUCCUGUCUGAACAUGGGGGGACCACCCUCCAAGCCUAAAUACUCGUAUGUGACCGAUAGCGAACCAGUACCGUGAGGGAAAGGUGAAAAGCACCCCGACGAGGGGAGUGAAACAGACCCUGAAACCGGACGCCUACAAGCAGUCGGAGCCGCCUUGCGCGGUGACGGCGUACCUUUUGUAUAAUGGGUCAGCGACUUUGUCUCUCGAGCAAGCUUAAGCCGGUAGGUGUAGGCGCAGCGAAAGCGAGUCUGAACAGGGCGACGAGUUCGAGGGAUAAGACCCGAAACCGAGUGAUCUAGCCAUGUGCAGGUUG